ensembl:lncRNA
CUUUAAUAUAAUGUAAGUAAAUGGCAAUUUCUGCUUGGGGUGUUUAAAGUGCCAAAAUGUGAAAAAGACGGCAGCAGUUUCUCUUUCCAGAAAUUGUGACCUGUUUAUUCAAAAAAUAAAAAAUUUAAAAAUCCACAAACCUUACAGUGAGCCAUUUCAUGCAGGAACUCUUUAGUUCGUACCGAUCCGCAAUUUUGAAAAAUGUCCAUGUGCAGAAGAAAGCAACCAUGUGCGUGUGAUGAAAGGCUCUUGCUGGUGGGAGAUUGAAUGGAUGUCCCUCAUUUGACCUGUAACAUCAGGUAGCUGCACAGGUGCGAGGGUGUCUUUUGGUUUGAAGAAGAUAUUUCCUGCAUGAAACUGCUCACAAAAAUGUUGGUGGAUGUUUUUUGAUUAACAGCUUCACAAUUUUUGAAAGAGGCAUUGCUGCAGAAUAUUUCAGAUGUAAUUUUUGCUGCUUUGAGCUCUUCAUAGUAAAUGCCAUUCAGUUCUAUUCCAUUAAAUAGAACGGUGACAUUUCCACAUCCAAAAACUUCAAAAAUGAGUGUCUCACAAAAAAAACCCCAUAGAAAACUGUGUAAAUUUGAUAUUAAUGUAAAUUCUUAUUUAAGUUGCUGGAUACAAACUAAACAUUUACAGCUUGAUAGAUGGAUUGGAUGUGUUUAUGCUAGUCUUGUUUCUUGUCAUUUUAUCAUCGCAAUGAUGCAGUCUUGUGUUCUAUAGCAAACUAUAACAUUUCAAAUCAUAAAACAGAUUGAAAAGACUCUUCUAACUGAUUAGAAAAGUCUUUGAUGAUGUUAGAAAGAUCUUCAAAAUAUCUUGUAGCAUUACUCGGCAAACUACUAAAUCUGAAAACACUGAAUUCCUCUCAAAAAGUAAAGACAAAAAGUGAGAAAAAAGAUUCGCCCUCCCAUCAUCUUUUAAGUCUGUAGCUCUCUGUAGCCCCAAAAGAAAGAUGAUUGGCUCAUUUAAAAAAAAAUUAUUGUAAUAAUAAUAAUAAUAAUCUUUGAUCUUGUAAUGAGGUUAGCAGCCUGGUUCUCAGUCCUAAGGUACUUUGAACUAUUUUUCUGUUUCAUACUUGUUUUUGAACAGAGUUGUUUCCUUAAAUGGUUUCCUUUCCUGCACCAGAGGGCCUGCAGCGGGUAUGAGAAGGCUGGCCAGGCUCUGACCACAAAUAUUAGUGAUAGGAACUUAAAAAAUGUAUAAGGAAGUUGGAAAAAUGUGUAGAAUCAAUCUCUUAUUUCAGGGGAAAACCCGGGCUGGCUGACAAUACAAAAUAAGACAGGAGGAGAAAGAGGGAAAAGUCAUUUGGAGGCUGACAGGAAGAACAGAUCACACAUUUCUACACAGCUGCUAAUACCCUAGCGCUGCCUACAUCUAAAGACUGGUGUGUUUACAUGCAGUUGUACUUGUUCACCAGUGUUUGUGAGCUUUUCUUUAACUCUCAAUUCUAUUUAUUUAUUUCACACACCUUGAUUGCCUCUCCCCUCCCUCUCCCUCUUCCUGUCUGAACGAGCUCUUCCUGUUCCCUAGAGAUGGCCGCUGUCCAAUGACAGAGCUCCUUUCAGAACCGGCCCUCGCUGCCGCUGGGUCAGCGGUCUUUGAGUCUCCUUGGAAACGUUCGUUGUUUGUUAUUGUUGCUAUGUCGUACAAGUGUGCCUGCCUGCGCUGAGACGGGCAAAAUGUGAGUGGCUAGUUUGGGCUGUCAAUCAUCCCAGGCCACACUGUCUCAGAUGAUGACGAUGAAUAGAUGAUGGUGAUGAGAUUGUUGCUGUUGGUGAUGAUGAUGAUGGUGAUGAAGAUAGAUGUUUUUGGUAGUGACACCGCAAAGAUCGUUGCAAUACACCUACUAUUUGCCUUUUUGAUUAUAUUAGUCAUAUUUUAACGUAGUGUGCUAAAUGUCAGUUUUUUUUUUAUUGUUGUUGUUGUUGUUGUUGUUGUUGUUGUUGUUGCUGAUGAUGUUUAUUCACUUGAGAACAAAAAGAUUUAACUUCAAUUCAAAAGUUCAUAUCAUUAAAAAAUGUGUUUGUUUGUUUUUUUCAUUUGUAAACAUCGAGAGUGUAAAACUACCUAACACACAAAAACUGCAGAUUUCUGGGGAGGAUGUGUAAAUACAAGAAAAUGUACUUCUGCUUUUAAGUGCCCUUUUUUAAAGUUUAAAGUUGUCAGUGUGCAGCUGUCUGAAGAGCAAAUCGGUGCGAUUGGUGCGGGGAUCGACGCCACAGAUCCCCAUCAACAUCCCUUGAGAUGAGCUUAUGUUAAAGCUAGCUAAAGUUCCCUUUUAUUGGAACCUUUUUGAGCACAUUUGUAUCACGCACUUAUAAGUUCCAAGUAUAAAUCUUCAUGUAAGCACCUAGUCCUCGUAACCCACUAAUCAUUGCGUCUCCUUACUCGACCCAGUGUCUAGAUGUGUGCCUUCUGGUGUCCAGCAUGAUCGGAGACUUACACUUAAAAAAAUCCUUUACUGUUGCCUUUCAACGUAAAACCUCGGACAGCACAAAAUCUUAACACGUUACAGCCGUGACGUAUGGAAGCCCAGUCAGGCCAAGAAAAAAAAAUGGAGGGGAAAAAAAACAGUCAGUGUUUCUAAGCUAAAAUGGACCAAAAGUCCUUAAAAUACUACAAACAAAUAACAUGUGGAAAAGCAGAUAUCUGCAAAUCCUGUGUGGUUGCUUCUAUUGUUUUUAUGUUAUCAUUCCAACUUCUCUUCCCUUUUCUUUUUCCUGGUAAAGCUGGACUUCUAUAAUCACGACAUUAGAAGCUAAAUUUGUGAAAACAAAUUACUGUUGCUAUUGCUGCUCUAUAUGUUUGGAACUAUAACUAAAAACAGCUGAAAUUAAUGCUUUUCUUCAGAAAUUUAAUGAGACGCAGUAUUUGCUUUUAACAUUUCUGACUGCUUGCAAAGAAUCACAUACCACACAGUCCAGAUUCAUAUGUGACAUUAUUUAAGACAUCUCCAAAGACGAAACCACUGUAAAGAAAAAAACGUUCAGUCAAGCUUGAACUUUUUGUUUUCGAUUUUGGGGAAAAAUCUUUUUUUUUCCUCCAGUUUUUGCUACAUGUUUGAUCAGUUUUAAAAGAAAGGAUGAUUUAAGUAACACAAGUAGACUGGCGGACGGCAUACAAGCAAACCAUUUUCUCCCUUCAUAUUUCUGUAUCAUCGCAUUUUUCUCUGCUUGCUCUGCUCUUUUAAUCAGCGCUGUGUGGCGCCUUUCCUCUGACAAUGUCGAAGAAAAAGUAUACAAAAGCACUCUUGUUCGCAGUUAUGUUAUGUGUUCAUAUUUAAAUAAGCCUCUGUAUCUUACACCGCAGUGACUAUUGUAGAAGUCUUCCACCUGUCCUUGAGUUUUAUCCUGCAAGCAUGUAAACUGUGGGGCUUGUACAAUAGACCAGUUUGUUCUGGUAAGGAUUCCUACGUGCAGCUGGUGCAGAUGUUUUAGAAAAGCAUGAUAAAAUGCUGCGAUUGUGUCCAGGGAAGUAAAACUGCACACAAGUAAUCAGCAGCUUUGGAGUGAAAUCUUCACUCAGGACCAGAUGUCAGAUAAAAAUGUGGGAACUCCGAUCUGUUCUCUGCAAUGCUGGGUUUCCCAUCACUCAAACGUAGCACCGGGUUCAUAAAAAGAAUGAACAUGGAGCUGAGGGUUUAACUUCAAUCUGUUAUCUGUCACAGCAUGGCUCAUGCACUUAUAUAGAGGCCUGCUUAUUCUCAGUGAUAAUAACUGCUUAUUUGUGUAUUAAGACAGUUUAUUUUAAUUUAUAUUGGAUGGUCUAUGUGUUGCUGGGUUUGCUAUGUUGUUAUUUUCUUUUCUGUUACAAACACAAGACAAUGGUUUAUUGUUGUUGUCACAGAACAUGAAUCAGACACAUUUCAGUUAGCCUUCGAUUUAAAAAAACAAAUAAAAAGUUUUAUAAAUUCA